ACACAUCGAGCCAACUUUUCCCAGGCUCCAGGGCCGAGUGGCCCCUGCGCAUCCUUCCCCGAGCCGGAUUCGCUCAACCUGCCUUGGCCAGGACUCCUCGCGAGGAUAUAGUACCAGGAACCGAUGCCCCAGGCAAACGAGGCCCCGAUUUUCCCUGUCCCGAUUUCCUCCUGUCACCCCAUCUCGCCUAGAUCGCAGAGGAGCUGCCCCUCACCGCGCCGACGCCGGAGCCGCCAUCGCCGGAGCACCUCACCAUCCACCGGAGUUCGCGAAGCCGUUCACCGGAGUUGCGCACGUCACCGAAGUUUGUCCGACCGCCACCGGAGAAGCACCAUCGGAGGAGCCACACCGAGACGGUUCCGUUUUUCCCCGCUGUUCGUGGUGAGAACGCACGCACGAGCGGAUUCAUCAAGUCCUGAUGAACAGCUUCAGGAUGAAAUUCAAUCUGUUUUUUAAUCUGUUUUAGCUCUGUCAGAUUCUCG
rnacentral:lncRNA from 1 species